rnacentral:lncRNA from 1 species
AAAUUCAAAGAGAUAAAAGAGACUUGAAAGAAACUGCGGGAGUUGAAUUUACAAAAUAUUUUAUUCACUUGAACAACUCUAUAGCAAUUGUUUUCUCUUCUCUUUCCUCUUUUUAUUCUUUUUUUUGAAGGAGUAUGUAUUGACAUGUAUUGAAAUAUUACAAACAUAAUUCCUUUUUUUUUCUUCCUCUUAUCCUUCUAUUUUUUCUUUUUCUGCCAACUUCUGAAAUAUUACAAACAUAAUUAUUCAACCCCACACAACUCCAAACAAGACUCUUUCAACCCUUU